rnacentral:tRNA from 1 species
GGCCCCUUCGUCUAGCGGUUAGGACAAAGCCCUCUCAAGGCUUAAACACGGGUUCGAAUCCCGUAGGGGUCA